GCGAUGAAGGACGUGCUAAUCUACGAUAAGCGUCCCGGUAGGUGAUGAACAAAGACGCAGCGGCGUUUUAGGGCUGAAGCCCGGUAAUGUUUAUUACACUAUAAACUGAAUCCACUUGGAAGUUAAUAGGGCUGAACCAGGGAACUGAAACAUCUAAGUACCGAGAAAAAUCAAACUGAGAUUCCCCAGUAGCGGCUUGAGCAGACGGGGAGCAACCAGAGCUGAAUCAAUUUGUUGAGUAGGCUGAAGGCGUGCAGGUGUGGCCCGUACACAAAUGCACAUGCUGUGGGAGGCUCCGGUGGGUAGGGCGGGACACGUGGUAUCCCUGUACGAAUAUGGGGGACAAUACAUCCUCCCAUUUCCAUCUCUGACACCGAUAGUGAACCAGUACCGUGAGGGAAAGGCGAAAAGAACCCAGGGGAGUGAAAAAGGAACAGAACAAGUAUGCGGCAAGCAGUGGGAGCACACUUCCCCGGCGUGUGACUUUUACGUACUGCUAUAAUGGGUCAGCGUAUUCUGCGGGGUUGGCCGAAUACCUGCUAGGGAGCCGAAGAGCCGGGAGUGCUGGGCGUUGGUUACUGCGGGAGUAUGGAGCCAGAGCCAGUGAUCUGGCGGGCAGGUUGGUUGGUGACACUAACUUUGGAGGAGGACCAGACAAGGCCAAUGUUGAAAAUUAGCGGAUGACUUGGCAGGGUGAAAGGCCAAACCAGGAGAUAGCUGGUUCUCCCAAAGCUGUUGGUGGCGCCUCGUGGGUGUCUCCAGGGGUAGAGCACGCCCGUAGGGUCAUCUUCCAGGCUUGCAGCCCAUUCAAGCAAACUACGAAUACAAGAUGCCAUGCGGGGAACACCGCAUGGUGCUAGCAUUCUGUCUUGUGAAAACAAGCCCGGGCCCUCCAACUAAGGUCCAGAAGUCUGGUGCAGGUGGGGCUUGUUGAGAGGAGGAAUGCAGGAACAACCAGCUGGGAUGUAGCUUAAAACGUAUGCAUUUCCAAAGAAGCAUGGCUGCUGAUCUGGAAGUCAGCCACCUGCAGGAGAUGCUCAACCGGGGCUGAAGCCGCACUGGCAACCUUAAGUGCAUUUGUUGGGUAGAGGGCGUUCUGCAAGCCAUAGAGACACGGCAGGGGCAUGCUGGAGGUAUCGAAGUGCACGAAUGCUGACGCUGAAGUGGUAAACCGGGUGAAAGAGCACUCGCCAGGAGACUGGGUUCCUAUUCGGCGUUAAUCAGGGCAGGGUAGGUCGACCCAGGCAGGCCAGAGGCGGCGUAGUCGAUGAAACAGGUUAAUAUUCCUGUACCCAGUGUUGCAGGGGAUGGAGGCUAUAUUGGCCGGGCGGGGUUGUCCGGUUUUGUAUAUGAAGGCUGGUUUCCGGAGCAGUGAGGAAAAUCAGAGGCUGAGGCAGUGACUGAGGCACUUCUGGUGCUGAAGCAGCAAUCUCUACUUCCAGGAAAAGCCUCUGAAAACAUCAGGUAACAUCAAAUCUUCAGCCGAGCUGGGUGAAUGGGUAAGAAGUACCCAGGGCGCCAGGAAAUGGUGAGGAACCCAGGCCAGGCUGGUGCCAUGUGGGAGAAGGCAUGAUGUGCGGGAGAUUGAGGUCCCACUGCGGAUGGAGCUGAAAUCAGUUCGAAAGGCCUGCCAAGCCAGCUGCAACUGACUUAUUAAAACGCUUUCGGCCGGCGAGAGGCUGGACGUGCCGGUCGGCGCGGUGCAGGAGAGAGUUGCAGUGAUGGGGUUGGCUGGCGGCUCCGUCGAAGAGCCCCAGUAAAACGGCCGCCAUUCUCUUUCGGUCCUGGGUGGCGAAAUUCUUGUCAGGUGAGUUCCGGUACUGAUAAUGUGGCGUUGUCUCACGGUUCGGUGAGGUGUUUCAUGGCGAGAUCUGAACAAUACUUGCGGCGGGAAUGGAAAGACCCGUAGACGCUGCUAAAGCGACGCGAACGACGACGCGGUGUAUGGGGUGGGAGGCUUUGGUGGCAGACGCCAGAUCACCAUAGACCGACGAAAAUACCACCUUUAAUGUUUUACGGUAUUUAACGUUAUUAUGAGAAAAUCCGGGUUGCGGACGAUCUCUGGUGAGUGGACGUUUGACUGGGGCGGUCUGCCACAAAAGGUAACGGAGAACUGAAGGUUGGCAAUCUGGUCGAGAGGACAUCGGAGGUUGAUGCAAUGGCGCGCCAAACCAACGACUGCGAGCGUGACGGCGCGAGCAGGUUACCAGCACAGAUCAUAGUGAUCAGUGGUUCUGAAUGGAAGGGAGACCAUCAACUCAACGGAUAAAGGUACUCCGGGGUUAUGGGGCAUUACCGCAAGGGGAAGUUCUUAUCGACGAAAAAUUGGCACCGAUGUCAGCUCAUGUACAUCUGCCGGGGCUGAAGUAGGUCCCAAGGGUAUGGCUGUUCGCCAUUUAAAGUGGUACGCGAGCUGGGUUUAGAACGUCGUGAGACAGUUCGGUCCCUAUCUGCCGUGGGCGCUGGAGAACUGAGGGGGGCUGCUCCUAGUACGAGAGGACCGGAGUGGACGCAUCACUGGUGUUCGGGUUGUCAUGCCAAUGGCACUGCCCGGUAGCUAAAUGCGGAAGAGAUAAGUGCUGAAAGCAUCUAAGCACGAAACUUGCCCCGAGAUGAGUUCUCCCUGACUCCUUGAGAGUCCUGAAGGAACGUUGAAGACGACGACGUUGAUAGGCCGGGUGUGUAAGCGCAGCGAUGCGUUGAGCUAACCGGUACUAAUGAACCGUGAGGCUUAACCUUACAACGCCGAAGCUGUU
rnacentral:rRNA from 1 species